UUCUUUCCCGCUGAGCCCCACUUUCUACGCUUACUCGUGCCCGAAUCUCUUGUCCAUCGUGAGAGGUGUUCUCUCUAGAGCCGUGGAGCGAGAGCCAAGGAUGGCGGCCUCGCUCCUCCGCCUGCAUUUCCACGACUGCUUUGUCAUGGUAAGGAACAAACGCUUUUUCGUUUUGUACCUCUUUAAGAGAAGAAGUUGGCACUGCGCGGAAACGUUUCUAAUUUUUGUUGUUGAUGUUGUUGUCAGGGGUGCGAUGGAUCUGUUCUUCUCGACGACCAGCCGGGCUUCACCGGCGAGAAGACGUCCAAUCCGAACAGAAACUCCGCCAGAGGCUUUGAGGUUGUGGACGACGUGAAAGCCGCGGUGGAAAGCGCCUGCCCCGGAGUCGUGUCUUGCGCCGACGUGCUCGCUAUCAUCGCUGAGCAAAGCGUGGAACUGGUAAGAACAGUGUCGUGAGAUAAAAGAAAGCUUACUUUUCGAGAUGCAGACUUACGGGCCUUCCUGGACGGUGCUCCUGGGACGUAGAGACAGCACCACAGCGAGCUUAUCCGGCUCUAACAACGAUAUACCACCUCCCACGUCCACGCUCG
rnacentral:lncRNA from 1 species